rnacentral:lncRNA from 1 species
GUCUAGGAUUAGGGUUUAGGGUAUAAGGUUUGAGUUUAGGGGUUUGACUUUGGGUUUUGAGUUUAGGGUAUAGGGUUUAGAAUUUAAGAUUUAGGGCUUAGGGUUUCGCUGGAAGCGUUAGCGUCGUUAAAAUUAGCGUUUUUAUUUUUUGUAGCUAUUUUUUAUUUAAUUUAAUAUUUUUAAUUAAUAAUUUAUGUGUCACUUUGAUUGGUAAAAGGUGGAGUGAAUUUAACCUAAGUUUUGUUCUUUUUAAAAACAUUAUUUCUUCUGAAGGCUCUCAAAUUAAAGGAUAACUAGUAUUGCAAUUUUCCUAGAUUAGUUAGCAUUUUUUAAUGUAAAAAU